rnacentral:lncRNA from 1 species
AUGGCAGCUGGGACACGGAGGGGUCCUCGGUGUCCUUGGUAUUGUGGGGCAAGGUCAGCCGGGACCAGGCCUUGGUGCUGCUGGGCAAUGUCAGCCGAGACUGGGACCGGCCCUUGGAGCUAUGGGGCAAUGUCAGCCUGCGUAUGGCCUGGUCCUCGGUGCUGCCAGGCAAUGUCAGCCGGGACCGGGACUGGCCCUCAGUGCCCCCGGUACUGCCGGGCAAUGUCAGCCGUGACCGGCCCUUGGAGCUGCCGGGCAAUGUCAGCCUGGGAAUGGCCUGGUCCUCGGUGCUGCCGGGCAAUGUCAGCUGGGAUUGGGACCGGCCCUUGGUGUCCCCGGUAUUGCCAGGUGAUGUCAGCCGGGACUGGGACCGGGCCUUGGAGCUGCUGGGCGAUGUCAGCUGGGACUGGGACCGGCCCUUGGUGUCCCCGGUAUUGCCAGGUGAUGUCAGCCGGGACCGGGACCGGGCCUUGGAGCUGCUGGACGAUGUCAGCCUGGGCAUGGACUGGUCCUCGGUGUCCCCAGUAUUGCCAGGUGAUGUCAGCUGGGACCGGGCCUUGGAGCUGCCGGGUGAUGUCAGCCAGGACACAGAUGGGCCCUUGGUGCUCCUCGGCAAUGUCAGCUGGGAUCGGGACCGGGCCUCAGUGUCCCUGGUACUGUGGGGCGAUGUCAGCCGGGACCAGGACCGGCCCUUGGAGUUACCAGGCGAUGUCAGCCUGGGCACGGACCGGCCCUCGGUGCUGCGGGGCGAUGUCAGCUGGGACCGGGACUGGCCCUUGGAGCUGUUGGACGAUGUCAGCCGGUGCAGGGACCGGCCCUGGGUGCUAUGGGGCGAUGUCAGCCUGGGCAUGGACCGGCCCUGGGUGCUACGGGGCGAUGUCAGCCUGGGCAUGGACCGCCCCUGGGUGCCCUGGGUGCUACGGGGCGUUGUCAGUCGGUGCAGAGACCGGCCCUGGGUGCCCUGGGUGCUGCGGGGUGAUGUCAGCCUGGGCAUGGACCGGCCCUGGGUGCUGCGGGGUGUUGUCAGUCGGUGCAGAGACCGGCCCUGGGUGCUGUGGGGUGUUGUCAAUCGGUGCAGGGACCGGCCCUGGGUGCCCUGGGUGCUGUGGGGCGAUGUCAGUCGGUGCAGGGACCGGCCUUGGCCAGCCUGAAGCUGCCGCAGCUGUGGACGGGAGGAGGAAGAGGUGUGGGAUGGAGGCAGCUGCCGGGGCAGGGUGCUGGUGCGCCUGGUGCCAUCCUCCUGUUGGCCACUCCCUCUAUCUCUCAGGUGGUCCUUCUCCUUGGAGCUCUUGGGACUGGCGUUCUGCUCCUCCAUGGCUCCUUUUCCAGAGGUGUCCUGGGAGGCUGCUACUUCCUGAGCAAGGUGUUCUGCUUGACUGGGCACCCCAGGGGAGUUCCUUAAACACCCCACAGGCAGGAUGGGGCUCUGCUGUGUCACAAUGGCCCAGGGGCACCACGAGGCCCUGCAUCACCCAAUGCAGUUGUCAGGUGUGUUGGGUUUGCAUGGCCAGGUUUUGA